rnacentral:rRNA from 1 species
CCUACGGGCUGCACCAGUAGGGAAUCUUCGGCAAUGGACGAAAGUCUGACCGAGCAACGCCGCGUGAGUGAAGAAGGUUUUCGGAUCGUAAAACUCGGUUGUUAGAGAAGAACAAGUAGGAGAGUAACUGCUCUUACCUUGACGGUAUCUAACCAGAAAGCCACGGCUAACUACGUGCCAGCAGCCGCGGUAAUACGUAGGUGGCAAGCGUUGUCCGGAUUUAUUGGGCGUAAAGCGAGCGCAGGCGGUCUUUUAAGUCUGAUGUGAAAGCCCUCGGCUCAACCGGGGAGGGUCAUUGGAAACUGGGGAACUUGAGUGCAGAAGAGGAGAGUGGAAUUCCACGUGUAGCGGUGAAAUGCGUAGAGAUGUGGAGGAACACCAGUGGCGAAGGCGACUCUCUGGUCUGUAACUGACGCUGAGGAGCGAAAGCGUGGGGAGCGAACAGGAUUAGAUACCCGUGUAGUC